CUACCUACCGCCGCCUGGGCGCCGCCGCUGCCUCCCUUCCCCGCUUCUACCCUCCAGCAGACGCCCGCCGGAGCGACCCCUCCCAGGGUGACCGGGGGAAGGUGUUCCACGUGGCCAUAGCGUUUGCGUCACAAUGACCUGGCGGACAGGUGGGAGCCACAGCGUACACCCCAGGGUUCCCUCUGUGCUGUGCGUAGUGCCUGCUGCUUGCUUCCAGGUUAAAUUUCUGUAGCUUUAGAGGACAGGAGACUUCAUGACUUCAAUGCCAAGAAAAGUUACAGAGGCCUGCUGUACCUGGAAAUCAAGUUUGAGCUUCGAGAAUAAAGGUCAUGGUUUAAAAACAGCUGUGUAUGUAUAGGAAAGAACCAAACCAUUGUUUCUAGAGACCCUGCAGUAUACAGAUCACAGGAAGAAAAAGUGUUGGCAUAGCUGCUUCCUAAUAUUAUCUAUGUGGAAAUGAAACCUCAAUAACACCAGUAAGGUGCUAGUGAGAACCCGAAACAGUUUCUAAGGAGAAUGGCUAUUGAAUGAUGGGAUCAGAAAUUAGGAGAGAAAUAAGAUCUCAGCCAACGUGAGCAACUGAGGCAGAAUGCUCCUUUCUCUUGGUGUGUGGAUACUGCUAUAAUGAAGAGAGGAGCCUUGUUUUACACUAAAAGAAAGCUCCUGUAAUGUAUGGAGACAGAAUACUUCUUGUAACACAUGAUUAAAUAAACUCCAUUUGGAGGGAGAGAAAGACAAGGGUUGGACACUUAGGCACUAAGAGUGGCCCUGUAAAGAAAAUAGGAAAUCAACAACCCCGAGACCCAUAUUUUUAGGCUCUCAAGAUUUCAGUGAAGAGCCACUUGAGGUAGCCACACAGGCUGUCACUAAAAGGUCCUGGAGCUGAGGAGUUAAUGGACCCCAGAAGUCUACUGCCACUGCAGUCAUGCACAGCAUCAGAGUUACAAUUUCCAUGCUGGUAAUGAGCUGAGCAUGCCCCGUGCUCUGAAACAGAUGCAUGGACCCUGGGCCAGGGAAAGAAAUGAAUGAAGAUGCCACCUUAUGCCCAGAACACUUCUCUCAUUCAAUGAUAAAGGAUUUGUGGUUGGGUCAACUUUUGUUAUGCUCAACUCUUUCCUUCGUAAGGACGGGCUCUUUCUCAGGAGGCUUUUGUACUCCCAAUUAACGCACUGCUAAUCUGAUGAAGCUCUAUUUUGUAGCUAUGCCAUCUGGAUCACAUAGCCUCCAAGGCCAGCAGAGCAGAGGAAGACAAAGAGCAGAGCAAGAUAGAGGUGGAAGUUACACGUCCUUUGUGCUUACUUUCUACUGGCCUCAUCGGGUCGCAAGAUCCCACUCCGAUAGGUGCAUGGGGGCUUGGAAAAUUAGAAAAACAUGUGAAUAUUUGGUAGGCACUUACAAUCUCUGCCAGCAUCUGCCCUUCUAAUCAGCAAAUUUUCAAUUACUUUUUUCUUCACCCACAUAAGACAUCUUAAUCCAACCUCAGGGGACACAUCCUGAUGUCCAAUCUAGUCACUACUUCAAGCUUAAUGGGAUACAUGGGCCUCUCUGUCAUAUCUGCAUGAGGCUCUUCUUGAUCAGGUGACCUAUGAACUGAAAGAAAGGAUAUAUCGUUGUCCUCCACUGUCUAUAUCACUGCAUACAGAGUGGUGGAAAGGAACAGAAUAACGAUGGUAUACAUUCCUAUUUCAAAGGGGAUGAUUAGAGACACAAAACAAUGAUAACAUCUCACUGGUCAGACAUGGUGAAAGUUCCCCUGUGCAGGGGAUGGUAAAUGUUCCUUAAUUAGGCCUUGGUUCUGGUCCUCGAGAGGCAUUCUUUUAUCCAUUGUCCUCUAUGGCUGUAAGCUGUGCCCUCCAAGAUAUUCUUUCUUUACCAUUACUCUCUGAAGUGGUUGAGGGGGAAUAUGUCUUCCUUCGGGGCUGCACGGUUUUCUCAGCAAACUUCUUUCCCACAGAACAUUGGCAGCUUGAGGGUUAUAAGUCUCAAAAUGUCAGUGGCUUUUUUUAGUCCAGGCUCAUGAUUUAUUUAACAAUGCAUUUCCCUCAAACACACAGUAGGCUUCUGAUCUAUUUGCUGUAAAUAACUUUCAUGUGGUACUAACCACACCUAAAGUUCUUUUCUAGGCAUAAUUCUAAAAUCUGCUUUGUUUCAUUGCUUUCUCACUUCUGUGCAUUUCUCUCUCUUCUAUAUGGGGGCUAUGUUGAAGAUGUCUGACUAAGAGGUAGAAAGUUCACACACUUAAUCUGUUUACGCUCUUAAUUGAUUCUCAUCCUAAGUCAUUUCAUCCAAUGGGGACAUUUCACUGUGAUUUUGUGGCAGUCUUUUGAGAUGCCAAGUCUUCCUGUUUAGAGCCUAGAAGUAGUCACUUUUCCAACUUACAAACUUCCAAAUUUCUGAACGAUUUUUAUUCCUGUCAUUUCUGUUUGCAAGCCAGCCAGGGUUUUCCUGAGCUUAUUUCAUUAUUGUAAUCCUCUGCCAAAUACAGCCAAAAUUCACUUUCAACAUUGUUUCCCUAAGUCAUUGGAUGCAGAAGCCCCAAGGUCUGCCUCCCAAAUUACCACAGGAUUUUAAUUUUUGCCAAAUGGUUUCCUACUGCUUAAAAUGGAUUGCCAUUUUUUCCAGCGUCUAACAUUGGAUUCUUCACUGCCCUCUGCCUAAUUACUAAGUCAUUGCUACACAUUUUAGGUUUCUUUGUGUUGGCCUCUUAUCACUGAUAAAAAUUCUGAAUUUGUUAGGAUAGGCUAGACUAUGCUGUGAAAACAAAUAUCCCCAUUUCAAUUCACUUGCUAAACAAAAUGAAGUUAUCUUUUUUGUUCAUACAAAAUCUCCAGGUUCCUGUCUGAUUUCACUUUGGGCUGUGGUUGUGAGUAUUGGAGAAGUAUAAAUUGUGGGGCAAAUGGAAAGGAAGUUCAAGGUGACAUUUGGCUUAGCAAACUCGAAGUGUAUGUUGGUAUUAUUGCUUAGGUAUGGUAUAUUUAUUUGUAUGUUUACAUAGUGUGACUGCCUAAUGGCGUUAAAAAAAUCUAUAGGGCAUGGUUCACUGUUUUCCCUUCACUGAGAAGAGCAAUGAGUAAGAAUAGAAAUAGGAAUAUAUUUUAUUUGAUGACCCCAGGGUGAAAAUUAGCAAAACAUUUGUGACAGUGGAUAUAUAAAAUAAAAUUUCCCCUUAAGUUAUA